GACGAACGCUGGCGGCGUGCUUAACACAUGCAAGUCGAGCGGUAAGGCCUUUCGGGGUACACGAGCGGCGAACGGGUGAGUAACACGUGGGUGAUCUGCCCUGCACUUCGGGAUAAGCCUGGGAAACUGGGUCUAAUACCGGAUAUGACCUCCUAUCGCUUGGUGGGUGGUGGAAAGAUUUAUCGGUGCAGGAUGGGCCCGCGGCCUAUCAGCUUGUUGGUGGGGUAAUGGCUUACCAAGGCGACGACGGGUAGCCGACCGCGGAGGGUGACCGGCAACACUGGGACUGGGACACGGCCCAGACUCCUACGGGAGGCAGCAGUGGGGAAUAUUGCACAAGGGGCGAAAGCCGGAUGCAGCGACGCCGCGUGGGGGAUGACGGCCUUCGGGUUGUAAACGUCUUUCAGCAGGGACGAAGCGCAAGGGACGGUACCUGCAGAAGAAGCACCGGCUAACUACGU
rnacentral:rRNA from 1 species